GCCAGAAGAUCUCCAGUUCACCUGGAGGUGCCGGAGAAAAGAUUUCUCUGCGCUUCACAUAUCACUUAAUAUGAUUCAAGAAGAAUUUAAAAAAGAACAAAAUAGGAUCUGAUGAUACUGGAAGUUGGUGCAAUACAGAUUCAAGUCCCCUCCUUCCUCCCCUCCCAGUUCCACCAUUCCUCCCUUCUCCUGCCCUUCUCCCUCCUCACCUAUUCCUCAGAAAUAGGAAUUUCCCAGCUCAUCAAGUUGCAUUAGGAGUAAGCACAUCCUAUUCCCCUGUGGCCUGGCAAGGGAGUCCAACCAGCUGGAAGUGAUAAGAAAGCUGGAAGGUGAGUCUGAUGUUGUCUCCUCUUCCCUUACUAGAGGACCCACAUGAAGGCUAAGCUGCCCAUCUGCUACAUCUUUGUAGGGGGCCUAGAUCCAGU